rnacentral:rRNA from 1 species
CCCAGACUCCUACGGGAGGCAGCAGUGGGGAAUAUUGCACAAUGGGGGGAACCCUGAUGCAGCGACGCCGCGUGGGUGAAGGAGUACUUCGGUACGUAAAGCCCUAUCAGCAGGAAAGAAAAUGACGGUACCUGACUAAGAAGCCCCGGCUAACUACGUGCCAGCAGCCGCGGUAAUACGUAGGGGGCAAGCGUUAUCCGGAUUUACUGGGUGUAAAGGGAGCGUAGACGGCAGUGCAAGUCCGGAGUGAAAGCCCGGGGCUCAACCCUGGGACUGCUCUGGAAACUGUAAAGCUGGAGUGCGGGAGGGGCAGGCGGAAUUCCUGGUGUAGCGGUGAAAUGCGUAGAUAUCAGGAGGAACACCGGUGGCGAAGGCGGUCUGCUGGACUGCAACUGACGUUGAGGCCCGAAAGCGUGGGGAGCAAACAGGAUUAGAUACCCCCGUAC